UACGUAGGGCGCAAGCGUUAUCCGGAAUUAUUGGGCGUAAAGAGCUCGUAGGCGGUUUGUCGCGUCUGCUGUGAAAACGCGAGGCUCAACCUCGCGCCUGCAGUGGGUACGGGCAGACUAGAGUGCGGUAGGGGAGAUUGGAAUCCUGGUGUAGCGGUGGAAUGCGCAGAUAUCAGGAGGAACACCGAUGGCGAAGGCAGAUCUCUGGGCCGUUACUGACGCUGAGGAGCGAAAGCGUGGGGAGCGAACAGG
rnacentral:rRNA from 1 species